rnacentral:rRNA from 1 species
UACGUAGGGUGCGAGCGUUGUCCGGAAUUAUUGGGCGUAAAGGGCUCGUAGGCGGUUUGUCACGUCGGGAGUGAAAACUCAGGGCUCAACCCUGAGCCUGCUUCCGAUACGGGCAGACUAGAGGUAUGCAGGGGAGAACGGAAUUCCUGGUGUAGCGGUGAAAUGCGCAGAUAUCAGGAGGAACACCGGUGGCGAAGGCGGCUCACUGGACAAGUAUUGACGCUGAGGUGCGAAAGCGUGGGGAGCAAACAGG